UGUGUAGACGGUUUGCUAAGUCUGUUGUUAAAUACUCUGGCUUAACUGGAGAUCAGCGGUGGAAACUAGCAGACUAGAGGGUGGGAGAGAGAAGUGGAAUUCCCGGAGUAGCGGUAAAAUGCGUAGAUCUCGGGAGGAACACCGAUGGCGAAGGCGGGUCUCUGGACAGUUCCUGACACUGAGGCACGAAGGCCAGGGGAAGCAAACG
rnacentral:rRNA from 1 species